CAAGACUCCGUCUCAAAAAAAAAAAAAAGGAAUGGUACAGAGAAGAUUAGCAUGGUCCCGGUGCAAGGAUGACACACAGAUUUCCCAAGCAUUCCAUAUAAAA